UUUUUUAAAAAUAAAAACAAAUUAUAUAUAAUAAUGAAAAAAAAAAUGAAACAUCAUCAUCAUUGUUUUGUUUUUUAGCUCAACGCCAGAGCAGCAUGAAUUUUGAAAGCUUUACAGAAUUGGCGUGU
rnacentral:ribozyme from 14 species